rnacentral:rRNA from 1 species
GGGUCUAAUACCGGAUAUGACCAGAGGCUGCAUGGCUUUUGGUGGAAAGGUUUACUGGUGCAGGAUGGGCCCGCGGCCUAUCAGCUUGUUGGUGGGGUAAUGGCCUACCAAGGCGACGACGGGUAGCCGACCUGAGAGGGUGACCGGCCACACUGGGACUGAGACACGGCCCAGACUCCUACGGGAGGCAGCAGUGGGGAAUAUUGCACAAUGGGCGAAAGCCUGAUGCAGCGACGCCGCGUGAGGGAUGACGGCCUUCGGGUUGUAAACCUCUUUCAGCAGGGACGAAGCGAAAGUGACGGUACCUGCAGAAGAAGCACCGGCCAACUACGUGCCAGCAGCCGCGGUAAUACGUAGGGUGCGAGCGUUGUCCGGAAUUACUGGGCGUAAAGAGCUCGUAGGCGGUUUGUCGCGUCGUCUGUGAAAACCAGCAGCUCAACUGCUGGCUUGCAGGCGAUACGGGCAGACUUGAGUACUGCAGGGGAGACUGGAAUUCCUGGUGUAGCGGUGAAAUGCGCAGAUAUCAGGAGGAACACCGGUGGCGAAGGCGGGUCUCUGGGCAGUAACUGACGCUGAGGAGCGAAAGCGUGGGUAGCGAAC